rfam:Triticum aestivum genome assembly, contig: Triticum_aestivum_CS42_TGACv1_scaffold_220824_3B
CACCUACUCCCUCCGUUCAGAAUUACUUGUCAUAAAAAUGGAUGUAUCUACAACUAAAAUACAUCUAGACACAUUCAUUUCUUGGACGAGUAAUUCCUAACGGAGGGAGUACAAU